AGUGAACGCUGGCGGUAGGCCUAACACAUGCAAGUCGAACGGCAGCACAGGAGAGCUUGCUCUCUGGGUGGCGAGUGGCGGACGGGUGAGGAAUACAUCGGAAUCUACUCUGCCGUGGGGGAUAACGUAGGGAAACUUACGCUAAUACCGCAUACGACCUACGGGUGAAAGCAGGGGACCUUCGGGCCUUGCGCGAUUGAAUGAGCCGAUGUCGGAUUAGCUAGUUGGCGGGGUAAAGGCCCACCAAGGCGACAAUCCGUAGCUGGUCUGAGAGGAUGAUCAGCCACACUGGAACUGAGACACGGUCCAGACUCCUACGGGAGGCAGCAGUGGGGAAUAUUGGACAAUGGGCGCAAGCCUGAUCCAGCCAUACCGCGUGGGUGAAGAAGGCCUUCGGGUUGUAAAGCCCUUUUGUUGGGAAAGAAAUCCAGCUGGCUAAUACCCGGUUGGGAUGACGGUACCCAAAGAAUAAGCACCGGCUACUUCGUGCCAGCCGCCGCGGUAA
rnacentral:rRNA from 1 species